rnacentral:rRNA from 1 species
GACGAACCGUGCGAACGUUGUUCGGAUUCACUGGGCUUAAAGGGCGCGUAGGCGGGCGGUCAAGUCAGGGGUGAAAUCUUUCGGCUCAACCGGAAAAGUGCCUUUGAUACUGGCCGUCUCGAGGGAGGUAGGGGCAUGCGGAACUUCCGGUGGAGCGGUGAAAUGCGUAGAUAUCCACAGGAACUCCGGUGGCGAAAGCGGUGUGCUGGAUCCUUUCUGACGCUGAUGCGCGAAAGCCAGGGGAGCAAACGGG